rnacentral:rRNA from 1 species
CCUACGGGUGGCUGCAGUGAGGAAUAUUGGUCAAUGGACGAGAGCCUGAACCAGCCAAGCAGCGUGAAGGAUGACUUCCCUCUGUGUUGUAAACUUCUUUUAUAAAGGAAUAAAAGGAGGCACGUGUGCCUUUAUGCAUGUACUUUAUGAAUAAGGAUCGGCUAACUCCGUGCCAGCAGCCGCGGUAAUACGGAGGAUCCGAGCGUUAUCCGGAUUUAUUGGGUUUAAAGGGAGCGGAGAUGGGUUGUUAAGUCAGUUGGGAAAGUUUGCGGCUCAACCGUAAGAGUGCAAUUGAAACUGGCAGUCUUGAGUACAGUUGAGGUAGGCGGAAUUCGUGGUGUAGCGGUGAAAUGCUUAGAUAUCACGAAGAACCCCGAUUGCGAAGGCAGCUUACUAGACUGUGACUGACAUUGAGGCUCGAAAGUGUGGGUAUCAAACAGGAUUAGAUACCCCAGUAGUC